rnacentral:lncRNA from 1 species
UUUUUUACCUUUGCACAUUUCCGAUUGGUCUUCCUGAGGAUGCUGAGUCUCUCCCUCUGCUCCAGCAAGUAUCCUGUCCUCCUUCUUCUCCUCCUGACUCUCUAACUGUCCUUUGUCCUUUUGGUCAUCCUUUUCUUUCUCUUUGUUGGAUUUGACACUCUCACUGUCAUUGCUAUCUGCCCCCUUUCCAGGAGCCAAAGUGAGCUCGUCAGAUUCUGUUGCGCCAUUGGUUUUGUAUGUCUCUGUGUCUUGGCUUUGACCCUCUUUUCUUUCACCCUCCUCUCUCUUUGUGUUGCUUUGGGUUGUUUUAUCUUUCUCAACGUUGUUGUCUGUAUUGUCUUUGUCAACCAUGUCUUUCUUCAUGUUUGGUUUCCCACUCUUAUCAUCAUCACAUUCACUUCUUAUCACAUUUCUUCCUGUUCUCUCAUCACUCUCAAUAUCUGUAUUUUCUUCAACCUCCUCCUCCUCAUCCGUUUCCUUUAUUUCUUCACUAAUGUCCUCAGUGUCACCGUCGAUUAUUUCCUCAAUCUCGCUGUAGUCACUCUCUGACCAGUCCAUAUCACCUGCCAGGUCAUUUUGAACUUUGACUUCUGAUGGUUGAUUAUUCUGACAGUAAUUUGUAGCUACCUUCUCCUCAACAAGCAUAUUUUUAUGUCCAUCCUUUUGUUUCAUCUCAGUGAAAUCAUCAUCAUCAUCAUCACUACUGUUACCUUUUUCCUCGGUCAGGAGUGCUUCCAUCGUUUCAUUCUUCUCUUUGUCUGUCUUCUUUUGGUGUGUUUUGGCACUUUUACUGUCAUCACCAUCUGAACAUUCUGCAUCACUUCUGUAUUUCUUCCCAUCACUCUUGGAGUCAUCAUCCUGGUCGCCAUCCCUCUCUUCAUGCUUUGGGUUGAUUUCCUCGAUCACAGAUGUGUCACUAUCUUGCCGCACACCUACACUGUUGUCUUUCUUCUCAUCUGCACUGUUUUCCUUCUCAACCUUUUUGGUUGUUUUGACAAUUGCAGUAUCACUGUCUGGUGUUUCCUCAUUUUUGCUAUCGUCAGUCUUCGGACAUUCAUCACUUCCAAAGUGAAAUUCCCACACAUCCAAGGCUGUCUUUUUUAGCUCUUUCAUCCUCGCUGUGUCUUCCACCCUCUUUCUUUCCUCAUUCUCCUCCUCCAUCAUUGUAUUCGCUGCAUGCUGUUUUUCCAUCUUUAUCAUCCUCUCCUCCAACUCUCUCAAUUUUCCAAACAUUUCAUUCUUCAUGUCUUCCAGUUUCCUCAUUUUCAUUUCCUCCUCAUGCUUUCUUUCCUCUUCUUUAAUCUGACUCUCAAGUUCUCUCUUCCUCUCCUCCAACUCCCUCAUUUUUCCAAACAUUUCAUUCUUCAUGUCUUCCAGUUUCCUCAUUUUCAUUUCCUCCUCGUGCUUUCUUUUCUCUUCUCUAAUCUGACUCUCAAAUUCUCUUUUCUUCUCCUCCUCCCUCUCCUCCAGCUCUCUCAUUUGUUUCUCCAUGUGUGUCAUAUUUUCUUCUGCAAUCUGUCUCUGCCUCUUUUCUUUCAUUAGGUCCUCUUCCAGUUUCCUCAUUUUCAUUUCCUCCUCGUGCUUUCUUUCCUCUUCUCUUUUUCUCAUCUCUUCUCUAAUCUGACACUCAAGUUCUCUCUUCCUCUCCCCCUCCCUCUCCAUCAUUUGUUUCUCCAUGUGUGUCAAAUUUUCUUCUGCAAUCUGUCUCCACCUCUUUUCUUUCAGGAGCUCUCUCCUGUCUCUUUCCCUUGCUUCCUCCACACACUUUUCUCCCAUAUUAUUUUCAUCUUCCUUUCUCUCUUCCAGGUCUCUUCUCUUUCCAUCACUCAGUGUCUCUGUUAGUCUGGCUUGCUUUUUCAGCAUCUGUUGUUCUUCUCCCAUCUUUCUCUUUCCUUCUUCCACCAUUCUCUUUGCCUUCCUUUCUGCUUUCAUCCCUCCCUCUUCCUUUCGGAUGUCUUCUUCCUUCCAGUAAAACUCUUCCCAUUCCUCCAUUCUCUUAUUUUCAGAUAUCUCCCACUCAUCUCUCUCCUUCUGUCUCUUCUUCUGGAGCUCCAUCCGUUUCUCUACCUUCUGCCUCUCAGAUGUCUUCUUGAACCUCCUCCUUUCCUCCUCCAUCUCUCUCUCCCUUUCUCUCAUUCUAAUAUCCAUUAACAGCAACUCUUCAUCCUUCAUCUGAUUUAUUUUUGCAAGCUCCUUCUUCUCCUCCAUCUUCAUCCUCUCAAGUCUGUCCCUCUCCACCUCCUUCAACACCUUCUCUCUAUUAAUCUCCAGAUACUGGUAAUCCUGCUGUUGUCUCUCUUCUCCAUACAUCUCCAUCUUCUGUCUCUCUAUCCGUCUCGUCUCCUCCAUACAGGCCCAUUGCUUUAGCAGGCCCACCUCCUUCCUUAGCAGGCCCACCUCAACAUGCCAGUCGCUCUGACCAAUACUGUGCACUUCCAUAACAAAUGAGCUCUAAAAGAGAGUUCGUAAAUGUUAGCAUCCUACAGGAUGCUGCUAAAGAAAACAAAUCCUUAAACAACCUAAAGACGGCAUCGGCAUCAAAAGGCAUCAAGUAAAUCACUUUUAAUAGUUCCAUCUUUCUUUUUUACCCAAUUGCCAAAGAUGAAUUUGACCUUAAUGUACAGUAUAUUCCAAAUUGACAGAAAUGUUAUUAUUGUGAAAAUUACUGACAAUUUCCCUGAAGAUUGUCAAUUGGAAGUUUAUUUUACUUCUGUGUCCUUGUGCAAACUUCUAAAACCCUUCUGUAAACUACUCUCAUAUAAAUAGAAUGUCUAGAAUGGAAAUAGCCCCUCAGGCCCCGGCAAUUUGACUACACCUUCUCACGGUUACACUCAAAAUGGCUAGCUUGGCAUUGUUAUACACAAUUGCCAUGGCCAUGGCAAGGACUUUUCAUUGAAAUGUGUGUAAUGUCAGUUGACAUUAAAUGAGCACAAUACAAUCCUGUACUUCUUGGUUAAUGGAGGACACUUCUUCCUGCUUUGCUAAGGGUGCACCCAUCAGCACGGCAUUGAAUUGAAUAGGGAUGUCCUUUCUAGCUGGCUACAUUACAACGGCUUGAUUUGUUUGAUCUGAGCAAUUCUUCUUAGCUAGCUACAUAGCCGUCUUUGUAUCAAAGAUAAUUGUGUAGUUUAGAGUAACUGAGUAAUUAUCGAGGCUAGCUAUCUUCGUCCUCCUAACGUAGUCAACACUGCUAGCUGCUAGCUAGCUAGUCAUCACUGUUAGCUAGCCAACUUCUACCGACUAGCAGCACCGCAGAAAC